UCAUCUAAGUGCGUCGAUAUUUACAGGUGAUAUUGUGAAAACAAAACAUCAUUUUCCCGAAAGAUUUUAAGUUCAAUGACCAUUCUAACCUUUGCAAGAUCAAAACCACAAAAAUUCUCUAUCUAUCUAACAUCUUGCCUCUAAAUCUCCAAUUAUCACCCCAAGCACAACCAUCAAGGCUCCAAAUUUUUUGGGGUAUCUUCAACUGGCCAGUUGCCUCAUCCUUGAUUACCAUAUUUGUUGAGGAUACCAAACUACCAUAUACAUGACUUCUAUCAUUUCAAGUUCAGUAUGUAUUGAUUUAUUGAAAUUUGACCGCGUAGCGGCGGGAGCAACACUGGUUCAUUGAGAUAAACGAUACGGUGAUGAUAAUGAACUGAGCUGUGUGGCAACGUAGCAACUAAAACUUCACUCUUUUAGGUGAAAUCGUAUCUGGGAGGUUGUUCGGCAAAGCAAACAUAAUCUAUGUCCUCAAUUAUUUAUAAGAUGACAGGUUCUGCUCUUCCCUCAUUGUCUUAAGUCUUCCCUGAAAUCUGAAGAAUGCCUGCAAUCCAGUUACCUUGACAAGUUCAGCUCAGAGAUGAGUUCUUCCUAUGACGUAAGAGUUGACAGUAAUAGCGUCUGCAUGGUUAAAAAGAAAACUAAAAGGAUUUCAUCACAUGGAUACUCUUCAAAUGGGUGAUAUUCUUCCUUUUCAGUAUCACUGUACAACAAUAUAUUAACCUACUUAUUUCAAGCUCUUAGGAACUUUUUGUAAGUUCAUUUGGCUAUUUGCAUGAGCUAACAUUGAAAUUUUAUAAUUGACCAUGUCCAAUUAACUGUUAAUAGGGAUUGAAUUUAAGCAUUUCCUGUGCAAGCUUAUAUUGAAGGCAAAAAGAAAAUGUUGCCUCCCUGAGGAGAACAAGCCAUCAUCUACUACUAGGGAAGAAAUAGAAGUUUAAAC
rnacentral:lncRNA from 1 species